rnacentral:rRNA from 1 species
UACGUAGGGUGCAAGCGUUAAUCGGAAUUACUGGGCGUAAAGCGUGCGCAGGCGGUUCUAUAAGACAGAUGUGAAAUCCCCGGGCUCAACCUGGGAACUGCAUUUGUGACUGUAGAGCUGGAGUACGGCAGAGGGGGAUGGAAUUCCGCGUGUAGCAGUGAAAUGCGUAGAUAUGCGGAGGAACACCGAUGGCGAAGGCAAUCCCCUGGGCCUAUACUGACGCUCAUGCACGAAAGCGUGGGGAGCAAACAGG